ACUCCACAAAGACCUAGGGAGCACUCCACUCCUGGAGCAGGGUGGUGUGGAUCCGCAGGUGGACGGAUCCGGACCCGCAGGCUGACAGAUCCAGACAGCUCUUAUCCAGAUGUGAAGGUUCACCCCAAUCACAGGAGCCACGUGGAACGGGGAUUUUGAUAUUUAGUGAUGUGUCUGUGAACUUGUCACAGGAGGAGAGGGAAUUCCUAGAUCCUGCUCAGAGCACUUUGUACAGAGAACUGAUGCUGGAGAAUUACAGCUGUCUUCUUUUUGUUGAUUCUAGUCUACUCUCUUUGAAACUCAGAUGCACACCCAUUGUUCCUCAGCCUGUGAAGGCAUCUUGUAAAUGUGGUCCAUUUAUAAAACGGAGUUCUGCUCAGUGGUGAAGGAAAAGGAAACCAAGGAAUUUGCAGGAUCCACUGAUGUUCAAGGACGUGUCCAUAGACUUCUCCCAGGAGGAGUGGGAAUGCCUAGACUCUGCUCAGAGGGCUUUGUACAGGGAGGUGAUGUUGGAGAACUACAGCAAUCUGGUGUCUG